AACGAACGCUGGCGGCGCGUCUUAACCAUGCAAGUCGAGCGGCAGGCAGCAAUGCCGAGAGCGGCGGACUGGUGAGUAACACGUGGAUAACGUACCCCGAUGCCCGGGACAGCCUGUAGAAAUAGAGGGUAAUACCGGAUAGAUCACUGACUACGGAAGGUAGACAGCGGGAAAGGAGCUUCGGCUCCGCGACGGGAUCGGUCUGCGGCCCAUCAAGCUCGUUGGUGAGGUAAGAGCUCACCAAGGCGAGGACGGGUAUCCGGCCUGAGAGGGCGGACGGACACAUUGGGACUGAGAUACGGCCCAGACUCCUACGGGAGGCAGCAGGUAAGAAUAUUCCGCAAUGGGGGGAACCCUGACGGAGCGACGCCGCGUGAACGAAGAAGGCCGGAAGGUUGUAAAGUUCUUUUCUGUCCGAGGAAUAAGUGUAGGAGGAAAUGCCUGCAUGGGACGUAGGGCAGAAUAGC
rnacentral:rRNA from 1 species